UGUCCUACGGGAGGCAGCAGUGGGGAAUAUUGCACAAUGGGGGAAACCCUGAUGCAGCGACGCCGCGUGAGUGAAGAAGUAAUUCGUUAUGUAAAGCUCUAUCAGCAGGGAAGAAAAUGACGGUACCUGAGUAAGAAGCCCCGGCUAACUAUGUGCCAGCAGCCGCGGUAAUACAUAGGGAGCAAGCGUUAUCCGGAAUUAUUGGGUGUAAAGGGUGCGUAGACGGGAAAUUAAGUUAGUUGUGAAAUCCCUUGGCUUAACUGAGGAACUGCAACUAAAACUGAUUUUCUUGAGUACUGGAGAGG
rnacentral:rRNA from 1 species